UGUCCCUGGCCUGGGUAGAGUGGUCCCUGGUUUGGUGGUGCAUGUCUCAUAUCAGCUGGGGACAAAGUAACCCCUUGCUUAUCCCAGCCUGGCUUUUGGUCUGUGCACAUGCUGGUUCAUGCCCAGGAUACAUGG